rnacentral:rRNA from 1 species
CUCAACACAGACUCGGCGAAAUUGCAUUACGAGUAAAGAUGCUCGUUACGCGCGGCAGGACGAAAAGACCCCGGGACCUUCACUAUAGCUUGGUAUUGGUGUUCGGUUCGGUUUGUGUAGGAUAGGUGGGAGACUGUGAAGCGGGCACGCCAGUGUUCGUGGAGUCGUUGUUGAAAUACCACUCUGAUCGUAUUGGACAUCUAACCUCGGACCAUGAUCUGGUUCAGGGACAGUGCCUGGUGGGUAGUUUAACUGGGGCGGUUGCCUCCCAAAAUGUAACGGAGGCGCCAAAGGUUCCCUCAGCCUGGUUGGCAAUCAGGUGUCGAGUGCAAGUGCACAAGGGAGCUUGACUGUGAGACUGACAGGUCGAGCAGGGACGAAAGUCGGGACUAGUGAUCCGGCACCGGCAAGUGGAAGCGGUGUCGCUCAACGGAUAAAAGGUACCCGGGGAUAACAGGCUGAUCUUCCCAAGAGUCCAUAUCGACGGGAUGGUUUGGCACCUCGAUGUCGGCUCGUCGCAUCCUGGGGCUGGAGUAGGUCCCAAGGGUUGGGCUGUUCGCCCAUUAAAGCGGCACGCGAGCUGGGUUUAGAACGUCGUGAGACAGUUCGGUCUCUAUCCGCCGCGCGCGUUAGAAACUUGAGGAAGGCUGUCCCUAGUACGAGAGGACCGGGACGGACGAACCUCUGGUGUGCCAGUUGUUCCGCCAGGAGCACUGCUGGUUAGCUACGUUCGGAAGGGAUAACCGCUGAAAGCAUCUAAGCGGGAAGCCUGUUCCAAGAUGAGGUUUCUCACCCCCUCGAGGGGGUAAGGCCCCGGCAGACCACCGGGUUGAUAGGCCAGAACUGGAAGCACAGUAAUGUGUGGAGGUGACUGGUACUAAUAGGCCGAGGACUUACCACAA